GAUGAACGCUAGCUACAGGCUUAACACAUGCAAGUCGAGGGGAAACGACAUCGAAAGCUUGCUUUUGAUGGGCGUCGACCAGCGCACGGGUGAGUAACGCGUAUCCAACCUGCCCAUCACUUGGGAAUAACCUUGCGAAAGUAAGACUAAUACCCAAUGACAUCCCACGAAGACAUCUGAAUGGGAUUAAAGAUUUAUCGGUGAUGGAUGGGGAUGCGUCUGAUUAGCUUGUUGGCGGGGUAACGGCCCACCAAGGCAACGAUCAGUAGGGGUUCUGAGAGGAAGGUCCCCCACAUUGGAACUGAGACACGGUCCAAGCUCCUACGGGAGGCAGCAGUGAGGAAUACUGGUCAAUGGACGAGAGCCUGAACCAGCCAAGUAGCGUGCAGGAUGACGGCCCUAUGGGUUGUAAACUGCUUUUAUAAGGGAAUAAAGUGGGUCUCGUGAGACUUUUUGCAUGUACCUUAUGAAUAAGGACCGGCUAAUUCCGUG
rnacentral:rRNA from 1 species